GGGGACGUUUUGGAUUCGACAGGGGUCCCCAGAGCUUAUUAAGCGUGUCGGAGGGUUGUCUUCGUUAUCAACACACUCAGUUUAUAAUAACUGGCAAAACAAACAAUAAUUUAGCAGUAGCUGCGUAAUAGCACUCUGCAUCGCCUAACAGUAUCGCCUAUGUACUGUUAACGCGAUUCAACUUUAGUAGGAUACGCUAGACACUGCUGUUCGAAGUCUGUCUAGAAGA
rnacentral:misc_RNA from 1 species